rnacentral:rRNA from 1 species
UACGUAGGGGGCAAGCGUUGUCCGGAAUCAUUGGGCGUAAAGCGCGUGUAGGCGGCCCGGUAAGUCCGCUGUGAAAGUCGGGGGCUCAACCCUCGGAUGCCGGUGGAUACUGUCGGGCUAGAGUGCGGGAGAGGCGAGUGGAAUUCCUGGUGUAGCGGUGAAAUGCGCAGAUAUCAGGAGGAACACCAAUUGCGAAGGCAGCUCGCUGGAACGUAACUGACGCUGGAGGCGCGAAAGCGUGGGGAGCAAACGGG